GACGAACGCUGGCGGCGUGCCUAAUGCAUGCAAGUCGCACGGGCUGCCUUCGGGCAGCUAGUGGCGCACGGCUGAGUAACACGUUCGUAACCUACCGUCCUGUGGGGGACAACACCGCGAAAGCGGUGCUAAUCCCGCAUACGCUCCGCGGAGGAAAGCGCUUCGGCGCGCGGUCGGAGGGGCCUGCGUCCCAUCAGGUAGUUGGCGGGGUAACGGCCCACCAAGCCGACGACGGGUAGCUGGUCUGGGAGGAUGACCAGCCAGACUGGGACUGAGACACGGCCCAGACUCCUACGGGAGGCAGCAGCAAGGAAUUUUCGGCAAUGGGCGCAAGCCUGACCGAGCAACGCCGCGUGGUGGAUGACGGCCUUCGGGUGAUAAACACCUU
rnacentral:rRNA from 1 species